rnacentral:misc_RNA from 1 species
GAAGCUCUCUGGCUCUCCGUG